UACAGAGGUGGCAAGCGUUGUUCGGAGUUACUGGGCGUAAAGGGCGCGUAGGCGGUUAGUUAAGAUUGAUGUGAAAUCCCUGGGCUUAACCUAGGAACUGCAUUGAUUACUGGCAAGCUAGAGUACUGUAGAGGGUAGUGGAAUUUCCGGUGUAGCGGUGAAAUGCGUAGAGAUCGGAAGGAACACCAGUGGCGAAGGCGGGUCUCUGGGCCGAUACUGACGCUGAGGAGCGAAAGCGUGGGGAGCGAACAGG
rnacentral:rRNA from 1 species